AUUAUUUGUUUAAUGGAAUCGAGUUCAAAUAAAUUCACCCAGCUUUCUCCUCACUGUGUGUUGACAAAAUAAUUAGAACAAGUUCAUAAUCAUAGGAAGCAGGAGAGCCAGGCUUUGAACAUGGCAGUUUAUUGCACUUUAAAUCCCGGGACUUUGUUGCCUCUCCAAUAAACAGAAUAGGCAUGGCAAGGUUGUCGUUCCAGCUACAUAGUUGAGCUGUAACCACUGAAACUGAAAACUUAUCCUGAUAAGACCACAUGUUUGCCUUAACUGUGUGAAAAUACAAAAAAAAAAAAAAAAAAGGAUUUUAUUCGUUCUGUGACAUCAGUUUCAAAGAGUGGGAACAUAUGCCUAUUAAAGAGCAUUCCUUUAAUACAUGGAUGAUGACCUCAUCAUCUGUUAUCUGAGUUUUUUUUUUUUUUUCAGGAUGUACAGACACAGAUGAAGAGACAUAUAGAUAGAAUCACAUUUACGUCAUACCAUUGGACGGAGCAUCCCUGAUUUGAAGACCUGGGCUGCUGCGCAUUGAUCGAUGGCUCCAAGGUGGCAAAGCAUCCGUGGUCAACUGACCCUCUGUCUCUGGAUACAAAGGGAAUGAAGAGAUGAAAGGCUUUUUAUCUGAGACUUCAAGGAGCAUCCUGGUGGGGAUAUCAUAAAAUUUCAUUGAGAUGGCCACAGUUUCACAUUAAGUGGUCCUCACCAAGAUGAGAAAUUGUCAUGGAUGAUACUACAACAGAAAGACAAAUGACUGGUCCAAGGAAUGUUUCACGUGGAAAGAAUACUUUUAGAAGGGAAGAGUUAAUUUCAUAAGAAGGUGAUGUAUAAAGCUAAGAGGAAAGCUGAUGGUUUUACCGUCAUUGUAUUAAACUGUAAUAGUGUGUUAAAUAAUAUCUCAGAAUUCCUUUAGGUGACAAUUAGCAGAUCCCUUCCCAGAGAUAAUGGAAACCAGCAGUGGAUUUUAGCAAGACAUUGGUAUGGAAAAUAGACAUGCUGAAUGGUUCCCAAACACCCCUGGGGUGGAGGAACAAUAUUAACUGUAAAAUAGCCAAAUUAAAAAUCAUUUAAACGCA